GCCCCAUUGGGCUCAGUGGGUAGAGCAUGCGACUUUUGAUCUCAGGGUUGUGAGUUCGAGCCCCAUGUGGGGUG
rnacentral:tRNA from 1 species